CCUCUUGUGUCUCUGCCCUUUCCUAGGGCCUUGAUGAACUUUAUGCCUGGCCAGUGGAUGAGGAAAGAUGGUGAAGAAGACCCACCUGCUUCUCUUCUGUCCCAAAGUUAUUUACUUUCACUCACAUUCCACUGGGAAUGAAUAUUGACAAACUCAGUCACCCCGGAAGGAGCUACUCCUGGAAGAGGAACGGAGAACUGGAGAGAAAAUACAACUGACCUUUGAAAAACAUAGAUUUGGACUGCACAGGUCCACAUAAGUGGAUUUUCUUCUACCUCUGCCACUCCAGAGACAGCAAGACCAACCCCUCCUCUUAUUCCUCCUCCUCAGCCUACUCAAUGAGAAGACAAUGAAGAUGAGGACUUUUAUGAUAAUCUGCUUCCACUUAAUGAAUAGAUGUAAGCUGCAUGCGGUCUCAAAUACCAGACCAAGGAGGACAUUUUAUUCUAUAGGCACUAAGGUGCCACUGAAGGACUAUGCACAAGGUAAUAAUCGAAUCUGAGCUUGGCUUAGAAAAAAAAUACA